CCUACGGGUGGCAGCAGUGGGGAAUAUUGCACAAUGGGGGAAACCCUGAUGCAGCAACGCCGCGUGGGUGAAGGAGCGUUUCGGCGCGUAAAGCCCUGUCAGCGGGGAAGAAGAAAGACGGUACCCGACCAAGAAGCCCCGGCUAACUACGUGCCAGCAGCCGCGGUAAUACGUAGGGGGCGAGCGUUAUCCGGAAUUACUGGGUGUAAGGGGAGCGUAGACGGCGAGGUAAGCCUGAAGUGGAAGCCCGCGGCCCAACCGCGGAACUGCUUUGGGAACUGUUUUGCUGGAGUAUGGGAGGGGUAAGCGGAAUUCCUGGUGUAGCGGUGAAAUGCGUAGAUAUCUGGAGGAACAUCAGUGGCGAAGGCGACUAUCUGGCACAUAACUGACGCUGAGGAGCGAAAGCGUGGGUAGCAAACAGGAUUAGAUACCCCAGUAGUC
rnacentral:rRNA from 1 species